GGGUCAGUAGGUUGGUCAUGCCACUGGUAUGUACUGGUCUCACUGAUUCCUCCUUCCUGAUGAACCUUAAUGCCAUUAAUUUGGUGUUGCGGGGAAUUUGGGCUGUUACUUUGAAAAAAUUAGAGUGUUUAAAGCAGGCAUUAGCUUGAAUACAUUAGCAUGGAAUAAUGAAAUAGGACGUUUGAUUCUAUUUUGUUGGUUUCUAGGAUCGACGUA
rnacentral:rRNA from 1 species